rnacentral:rRNA from 1 species
GAUGAACGCUGGCGGCGUGCCUAAUACAUGCAAGUCGAGCGAACGGACGAGAAGCUUGCUUCUCUGAUGUUAGCGGCGGACGGGUGAGUAACACGUGGAUCACCUACCUAUAAGACUGGGAUAACUUCGGGAAACCGGAGCUAAUACCGGAUAAUAUUUUGAACCGCAUGGUUCAAAAGUGAAAGACGGUCUUGCUGUCACUUAUCGAUGGAUCCGAGCUGCAUUAGCUAGUUGGUAAGGUAACGGCUUACCAAGGCAACGAUGCAUAACCGACCUGAGAGGGUGAUCGGCCACACUGGAACUGAGACACGGUCCAGACUCCUACGGGAGGCAGCAGUAGGGAAUCUGCCGCAAUGGGCGAAAGCCUUACGGAGCAACGCCGCGUGAGUGAUGAAGGUCUUCGGAUCGUAAAACUCUGUUAUUAGGGAAGAACAGAUGUGUAAGUAACUGUGCACAUCUUGACGGUACCUAAUCAGAAAGCCACGGCUAACUACGUG